GGCUGGCCCAAGUGCAGUGGUGUUUACAGCAAUUGAUCACAACCAGUUACAGAUUCCUGUAUCUUUCUCCACUCCCACUGCUUCACCUGACUAGCCUAAA
ensembl:misc_RNA Y_RNA Y RNA